CCUACGGGAGGCAGCAGUAGGGAAUGUUCGUCAAUGGGCGCAAGCCUGAACGAGCGAUGCCGCGUGAGUGAAGAAGGCCUUCGGGUCGUAAAGCUCUGUUGCGGGGGAAAAAAGGCAGCAUCAGGAAAUGGGUGCUGACUGAUGGUGCCCCGCCAGAAAGUCACGGCUAACUACGUGCCAGCAGCCGCGGUAAUACGUAGGUGGCGAGCGUUGUCCGGAAGGAUUGGGCGUAAAGGGUGCGCAGGCGGUCCUGCAAGUCUGGAGUGAAACGCAUGAGCUCAACUCAUGCAUGGCUUUGGAAACUGGAGGACUGGAGAGCAGGAGAGGGCAGUGGAACUCCAUGUGUAGCGGUAAAAUGCGUAGAUAUAUGGAAGAACACCAGUGGCGAAGGCGGCCGCCUGGCCUGUUGCUGACGCUGAGGCACGAAAGCGUGGGGAGCAAAUAGGAUUAGAUACCCCAGUAGUC
rnacentral:rRNA from 1 species